CGUGCGAGAAGGAGGCUUCGGUCUCUGAGUAGAGCGGCGCACGGGUGAGUAACGCGUGGAUGAUCUACCCUUGAGUUCGGGAUAACGGUGCGAAAGCGCCGCUAAUACCGUAUAACAAUCCAUUUCAUCGUGGGUUCAAAGCAGGCCUCUUCAUGAAAGCUUGCGCUUGGGGAUGAGUCCGCGUCCCAUUAGCUUGUUGGCGGGGUAACGGCCCACCAAGGCAACGAUGGGUAGCUGGUCUGAGAGGAUGAUCAGCCACACUGGAACUGAAACACGGUCCAGACUCCUACGGGAGGCAGCAGUGGGGAAUAUUGCGCAAUGGGGGAAACCCUGACGCAGCGACGUCGUGUGAGGGAAGAAGGCCUUCGGGUCGUAAACCUCUGUCAGAAGGGAAGAACAUCCGGGAGUCGAACAGCCUCCCGGCCUGACGGUACCUUCAGAGGAAGCGCCGGCUAACUCCGUGCCAGCAGCCGCGGUAAUACGGAGGGCGCAAGCGUUAAUCGGAAUCACUGGGCGUAAAGCGUGCGUAGGCUGCUUGAUAAGUCAGACGUGAAAUCCCUCGGCUCAACCGGGGAACUGCGUUUGAUACUGUCGAGCUAGAGUCCUGGAGAGGGUGGCGGAAUUCCUGGUGUAGGAGUGAAAUCCGUAGAUAUCAGGAGGAACACCGGUGGCGAAGGCGGCCACCUGGACAGGUACUGACGC
rnacentral:rRNA from 1 species